UCAGGGAUAUUGCGCAAUGGGGGAAACCCUGACGCAGCGACGCCGCGUGCGGGACGAAGGCCUUCGGGUCGUAAACCGCUGUUGUGGGAGACGAGUGCCCGGUGAUGAGCCGGGAGAGACGGUAUCUCACAAGGAAGCCCCGGCUAACUACGUGCCCGCAGCCGCGGUAAUACGUAGGGGGCGAGCGUUGUCCGAAGUUACUGGGCGUAAAGCGCGCGGAGGCGGCUCCUUAAGUGACGGGGGAAAUCCCCGGGCUCAACUCGGGAGGGUCUGGUCAUACUGGGGAGCUAGAGUGCGGGAGGGGAGAGCGGAACUCCUGGUGUAGCGGUGAUAUGCGUAGAGAUCAGGAAGAACACCCGUGGCGAAGGCGGCUCUCUGGACCGUGACUGACGCUGAGGUGCGAAAGCCAGGGGAGCGAACGGG
rnacentral:rRNA from 2 species